rnacentral:rRNA from 1 species
UUAAGCGACUAAGCGUACACGGUGGAUGCCCUGGCAGUCAGAGGCGAUGAAGGACGUGCUAAUCUGCGAUAAGCGUCGGUAAGGUGAUAUGAACCGUUAUAACCGGCGAUUUCCGAAUGGGGAAACCCAGUGUGUUUCGACACACUAUCAUUAACUGAAUCCAUAGGUUAAUGAGGCGAACCGGGGGAACUGAAACAUCUAAGUACCCCGAGGAAAAGAAAUCAACCGAGAUUCCCCCAGUAGCGGCGAGCGAACGGGGAGCAGCCCAGAGCCUGAAUCAGUGUGUGUGUUAGUGGAAGCGUCUGGAAAGGCGCGCGAUACAGGGUGACAGCCCCGUACACAAAAAUGCACAUGCUGUGAGCUCGAUGAGUAGGGCGGGACACGUGGUAUCCUGUCUGAAUAUGGGGGGACCAUCCUCCAAGGCUAAAUACUCCUGACUGACCGAUAGUGAACCAGUACCGUGAGGGAAAGGCGAAAAGAACCCCGGCGAGGGGAGUGAAAAAGAACCUGAAACCGUGUACGUACAAGCAGUGGGAGCACGCUUAGGCGUGUGACUGCGUACCUUUUGUAUAAUGGGUCAGCGACUUAUAUUCUGUAGCAAGGUUAACCGAAUAGGGGAGCCGAAGGGAAACCGAGUCUUAACUGGGCGUUAAGUUGCAGGGUAUAGACCCGAAACCCGGUGAUCUAGCCAUGGGCAGGUUGAAGGUUGGGUAACACUAACUGGAGGACCGAACCGACUAAUGUUGAAAAAUUAGCGGAUGACUUGUGGCUGGGGGUGAAAGGCCAAUCAAACCGGGAGAUAGCUGGUUCUCCCCGAAAGCUAUUUAGGUAGCGCCUCGUGAAUUCAUCUCCGGGGGUAGAGCACUGUUUCGGCAAGGGGGUCAUCCCGACUUACCAACCCGAUGCAAACUGCGAAUACCGGAGAAUGUUAUCACGGGAGACACACGGCGGGGUGCUAACGUCCGUCGUGAAGAGGGAAACAACCCAGACCGCCAGCUAAGGUCCCAAAGUCAUGGUUAAGUGGGAAACGAUGUGGGAAGGCCCAGACAGCCAGGAUGUUGGCUUAGAAGCAGCCAUCAUUUAAAGAAAGCGUAAUAGCUCACUGGUCGAGUCGGCCUGCGCGGAAGAUGUAACGGGGCUAAACCAUGCACCGAAGCUGCGGCAGCGACACUAUGUGUUGUUGGGUAGGGGAGCGUUCUGUAAGCCUGUGAAGGUGUACUGUGAGGUAUGCUGGAGGUAUCAGAAGUGCGAAUGCUGACAUAAGUAACGAUAAAGCGGGUGAAAAGCCCGCUCGCCGGAAGACCAAGGGUUCCUGUCCAACGUUAAUCGGGGCAGGGUGAGUCGACCCCUAAGGCGAGGCCGAAAGGCGUAGUCGAUGGGAAACAGGUUAAUAUUCCUGUACUUGGUGUUACUGCGAAGGGGGGACGGAGAAGGCUAUGUUGGCCGGGCGACGGUUGUCCCGGUUUAAGCGUGUAGGCUGGUUUUCCAGGCAAAUCCGGAAAAUCAAGGCUGAGGCGUGAUGACGAGGCACUACGGUGCUGAAGCAACAAAUGCCCUGCUUCCAGGAAAAGCCUCUAAGCAUCAGGUAACAUCAAAUCGUACCCCAAACCGACACAGGUGGUCAGGUAGAGAAUACCAAGGCGCUUGAGAGAACUCGGGUGAAGGAACUAGGCAAAAUGGUGCCGUAACUUCGGGAGAAGGCACGCUGAUAUGUAGGUGAAGCGACUUGCUCGUGGAGCUGAAAUCAGUCGAAGAUACCAGCUGGCUGCAACUGUUUAUUAAAAACACAGCACUGUGCAAACACGAAAGUGGACGUAUACGGUGUGACGCCUGCCCGGUGCCGGAAGGUUAAUUGAUGGGGUCAGCGCAAGCGAAGCUCUUGAUCGAAGCCCCGGUAAACGGCGGCCGUAACUAUAACGGUCCUAAGGUAGCGAAAUUCCUUGUCGGGUAAGUUCCGACCUGCACGAAUGGCGUAAUGAUGGCCAGGCUGUCUCCACCCGAGACUCAGUGAAAUUGAACUCGCUGUGAAGAUGCAGUGUACCCGCGGCAAGACGGAAAGACCCCGUGAACCUUUACUAUAGCUUGACACUGAACAUUGAGCCUUGAUGUGUAGGAUAGGUGGGAGGCUUUGAAGUGUGGACGCCAGUCUGCAUGGAGCCGACCUUGAAAUACCACCCUUUAAUGUUUGAUGUUCUAACGUGGACCCGUGAUCCGGGUUGCGGACAGUGUCUGGUGGGUAGUUUGACUGGGGCGGUCUCCUCCUAAAGAGUAACGGAGGAGCACGAAGGUUGGCUAAUCCUGGUCGGACAUCAGGAGGUUAGUGCAAUGGCAUAAGCCAGCUUGACUGCGAGCGUGACGGCGCGAGCAGGUGCGAAAGCAGGUCAUAGUGAUCCGGUGGUUCUGAAUGGAAGGGCCAUCGCUCAACGGAUAAAAGGUACUCCGGGGAUAACAGGCUGAUACCGCCCAAGAGUUCAUAUCGACGGCGGUGUUUGGCACCUCGAUGUCGGCUCAUCACAUCCUGGGGCUGAAGUAGGUCCCAAGGGUAUGGCUGUUCGCCAUUUAAAGUGGUACGCGAGCUGGGUUUAGAACGUCGUGAGACAGUUCGGUCCCUAUCUGCCGUGGGCGCUGGAGAACUGAGGGGGGCUGCUCCUAGUACGAGAGGACCGGAGUGGACGCAUCACUGGUGUUCGGGUUGUCAUGCCAAUGGCACUGCCCGGUAGCUAAAUGCGGAAGAGAUAAGUGCUGAAAGCAUCUAAGCACGAAACUUGCCCCGAGAUGAGUUCUCCCUGACUCCUUGAGAGUCCUGAAGGAACGUUGAAGACGACGACGUUGAUAGGCCGGGUGUGUAAGCGCAGCGAUGCGUUGAGCUAACCGGUACUAAUGAACCGUGAGGCUUAACCUU